rnacentral:rRNA from 1 species
UACUAACUCUGGCGGCGUGCUUAACACAUGCCAGUCGAACGGAAAGGCCCUGCUUUUGUGGGGUGCUCGAGUGGCGAACGGGUGAGUAACACGUGAGUAACCUGCCCUUGACUUUGGGAUAACUUCAGGAAACUGGGGCUAAUACCGGAUAGGAGCUCCUGCUGCAUGGUGGGGGUUGGAAAGUUUCGGCGGUUGGGGAUGGACUCGCGGCUUAUCAGCUUGUUGGUGGGGUAGUGGCUUACCAAGGCUUUGACGGGUAGCCGGCCUGAGAGGGUGACCGGCCACAUUGGGACUGAGAUACGGCCCAGACUCCUACGGGAGGCAGCAGUGGGGAAUAUUGCACAAUGGGCGGAAGCCUGAUGCAGCAACGCCGCGUGCGGGAUGACGGCCUUCGGGUUGUAAACCGCUUUCGCCUGUGACGAAGCGUGAGUGACGGUAAUGGGUAAAGAAGCACCGGCUAACUACGUG